AUUAUUUCAUUUUCUUUUUCAGUAGAAACUUUCAUUAAUAACCAAUAAGAGCCAUGGAUUAUGUAGUGGAAGAUGUAUCAGGAGCAUCCAUGGAUUAUGAUCUGGAAGAUGCAUUAGAAGAGACGUCUGAAUGGUAUGGUCAGAUAAAUGUGCUCCGUUUUGGUCCUUAACCCGGAACGGUUUGGAGUUUAGUUUUAAGAAAUCUAAAGAGGUGUCUGCUGAGGAGGAGAAGGACGAGGCUGCUGACUGAGACUAGGAGUUGAAAGAUUUGGGAAAGAAUUGCACCGAACUCGAGAAAGAGAAGGCAAAGCUGUUGGCUGCAGAAAAUCAGAUUGAGAAGCUCUUGUCUUGUUUUUUUUAGCUCUUAUCUUGUUCCGAUGAUGAUGAUGAUGAUAUUUAUUGUUCUUGAGCUCUUUGUACGCCUCUUUGUGUUCUAUGGUUUGUUCGUUUGCAUAUUCCGGUAGUAAGACUGACUUUUU
rnacentral:lncRNA from 1 species